CCAAUCACCGCCCCUCUGGAGACCCCAGCCUAUGGGAUGGAGGUUGACAUCACGCGCCAAUCGGCAUGGCUUUUAGAGAAAGCGGCUCACUUUUUGAAUUGUUUGUUGCUGACACCGGCGAGGAAUGGCGGUAACAGUGAGGGGAAUCGGUGCUUGAAAAGGUGGACUUUCAAGGCGAUUUUUGAGAGUGUCAUCGUAGAAGAGUACAAACAAUGGCUGACAGUAGUGUAUUAACAUCCACUAUUGAAAGGACAAGCUUGGCAGACUCCUCUAUUUUUGAUUCUAAAGUUACUGAAAUUUCCAAGGAAAAUGUACUUAUUGGAUCUGCUUCAUAUGUUGAAGAAGAAAUGCCUCAAAUUGAAACGAGAAUGAUAUUGGUUCAAGAAGCUGGAAAACAAGAAGAACUUAUACAAGCUUUAAAGACUAUUAAAAUAAUGGAAGUCCCUGUUAUAAAGAUAAGAGAAAGUUGUCCUGGAAAAUCGGAUGAAAAAUUAAUAAAAAGUGUUGUUAAUAUGGAAAUUAAAGUACCCUUUGUAAAGAUGGAAUCAGUGGAAGAACUUGAAAGUUUGGAUUCUCCAGAAUUUGAAAAUGUAUUCAUAGUCAUGGAUUUCCAGGAUUCUGUUUUUAAUGAGUUAUACAAGACUGAUCAUAGAAUUAUUGGGCCACCAGUUAUCUUAAACUGUGCCCAAAAAGGAGAGCCUUUGCCAUUCUCAUGUCGUCCACUCUACUGUACAAGCAUGAUGAACCUAGUCCUGUGCUUUACUGGAUUUAGGAAGAAAGAAGAACUAGUCAGAUUGGUGACAUUGGUUCAUCACAUGGGUGGAGUUAUUCGAAAAGACUUUAAUUCAAAAGUUACACAUUUGGUGGCAAAUUGUACACAAGGAGAAAAAUUCAGGAUUGCUGUGAGUCUGGGCACUCCAAUUAUGAAGCCAGAAUGGAUUUAUAAAGCUUGGGAAAGGCGGAAUGAACAGGAUUUCUGUGCAUCAGUUGAUGACUUCAGAAAUGAAUUUAAAGUUCCUCCAUUUCAAGAUUGCAUUUUAAGUUUCCUGGGAUUUUCAGAUGAAGAAAAAACCAAUAUGGAAGAAAUGACUGAGAUGCAAGGAGGUAACUGUUUACCUGUUGGAGAUGAAAGAUGCACUCACCUUAUAGUUGAAGAGAAUAUAGUAAAAGAACUUCCAUUUGAACCUUCGAAGAAACUUUAUGUUGUCAAGCAGGAGUGGUUCUGGGGAAGCAUUCAAAUGGAUGCCCGAGCUGGAGAAACUAUGUAUUUAUAUGAAAAGGCUAAUACUCCUGAGCUCAAGAAAUCAGUGUCACUGCUUUCUCUAAAUACCCCAAACAGCAAUCGCAAAAGACGUCGUUUAAAAGAGACACUUGCUCAGCUUUCGAGAGAGACAGACAUGUCACCUUUUCCUCCCCGUAAGCGCCCGUCAGCCGAACAUUCGCUUUCUAUAGGGUCACUCCUAGAUAUCUCCAACACACCAGAGUCUAGCAUUAACUAUGGAGAAACACCAAAAUCUUGUACUAAGUCUUCUAAAAAUUCCACUCCGGUUCCUUCAAAGCAGUCAGCCAGGUGGCAAGUUGCAAAAGAGCUUUAUCAGACUGAAAGUAAUUAUGUAAAUAUAUUGGCCACAAUUAUUCAGUUAUUUCAAGUACCAUUGGAAGAGGAAGGACAACGUGGUGGGCCUAUCCUUGCACCAGAAGAGAUUAAGACUAUUUUUGGUAGUAUCCCUGAUAUCUUUGAUGUGCACACUAAGAUAAAGGAUGAUCUGGAAGACCUUAUUGUUAAUUGGGAUGAGAGCAAAAGCAUUGGUGACAUCUUUCUUAAAUAUUCAAAAGAUUUGGUAAAAACCUAUCCUCCCUUUGUAAACUUCUUUGAAAUGAGCAAGGAAACAAUUAUUAAAUGUGAAAAACAGAAACCAAGAUUUCAUGCUUUUCUCAAGAUAAACCAAGCUAAACCAGAAUGUGGACGGCAAAGCCUUGUUGAACUUCUCAUUCGACCAGUACAGAGGUUACCCAGUGUUGCGUUACUUUUAAAUGAUCUUAAGAAGCAUACAGCCGAAGAAAAUCCUGACAAAACCACUCUAGAAAAAGCUAUUGGAUCACUAAAGGAAGUAAUGACCCAUAUUAAUGAGGAUAAGAGAAAAACAGAAGCUCAAAAGCAAAUAUUUGAUGUUGUUUAUGAAGUAGAUGGAUGCCCAGCGAAUCUUUUGUCUUCUCACCGAAGCUUAGUCCAACGAGUUGAAACAAUUUCUCUAGGUGAACACCCCUGUGACAGAGGAGAGCAAGUAACUCUGUUUCUCUUCAAUGACUGCCUGGAGAUAGCAAGAAAACGGCAUAAGGUUAUUGGCACUUUUAGGAGUCCUCAUGGCCAUACCCGACCCCCAGCUUCUCUUAAGCAUAUUCAUCUCAUGCCUCUUUCUCAAAUUAAGAAAGUGCUGGACAUAAGAGAAACAGAAGAUUGCCAUAAUGCUUUUGCCUUGCUUGUGAGGCCACCAACAGAGCGGGCAAAUGUGCUGCUCAGUUUCCAGAUGACAUCAGAGGAACUUCCAAAAGAGAACUGGCUAAAGAUGCUAUGUCGACAUGUAGCCAAUACCAUUUGUAAAGCAGAUGCUGAGAAUCUUAUUUACAGUGCUGAUCCAGAAUCCUUUGAAGUAAAUACUAAAGAUAUGGACAGUACAUUGAGUAGGGCAUCUAGAGCAAUAAAAAAGACUUCAAAAAAGGUUACAAGAGCGUUCUCUUUCUCCAAAACUCCAAAAAGAGCUCUGCGAAGAGCCCUCAUGACAUCCCAAAGCUCAGUGGAGGGAAGAAGUCCUUCCAGCAAUGACAAGCAUGUAAUGAGUCGUCUGUCUAGCACAUCAUCAUUAGCAGGUAUCCCAUCACCCUCCCUUGUCAGCCUGCCUUCCUUCUUUGAAAGGAGAAGUCAUACUUUAAGUCGAUCUACAACUCAUUUGAUAUGAAGCUUAAAAAAUCUUAAUUUAGAGCAACUUAUAAACACUUCAUACUUAAAAACUGACUUAAAUGGUACUUGUCAUUAGCACUUGGGGAAAGCUGGAAAGAAUAAAUGGAGCUGUGAUUCCCUCCAAAAGUAUGGUGUUUCCAGUGAGAGAAAAUAACCUGAGAUAAGGCAUGAAGUUGGAAACAUAUUGGAUGAACACUGGCAAAAUAUUAGCAGGUAGUUAAUUUUAACUUUAAAAGGAAUGCCUCUAGUUUUUCUCAUGAUACCUGCUCUACAACUAGUAUUUUUGUUAUAUCCCCGUUAUCAAUUAAAGACUGUUUGUAUGGGGGUGCAUGGGUGGCGCAGUCAGUUAGGUAUCCACUUUCAACUCAGGUCAUUAUCUUAUGAUUCGUAAGUUCAAGCCCCACAUCGGGCUGUCAGCACAGAACCCACUUCACAUCUGCUUCUCUUUCUGCUCGAAAUUCUUCUCUCUCUCAAAAAUAAAUAAACAUGGAAAAAAGAAAAAAGACUGUAUACUUAAUCUGUUAAGAUGCUUUAUCAUGUAUGGAUAUUAAAUAUAAUUAAGCUUUCCUUCUCUAUUGAGAACAUGUUUUAUUUAGUGAUCUUUAAUCAGUUGCAUUACAGUAAUACAUUUUGUAAUGUUAAUCUAUUCUUGUAUUUGCAGGCUACACCAUAUAAUUUUCCACAUGAGGUAUUGAACAUAGAACCAUAACAAUAAAGAAUCACAUUUAUGAAAGAGAUGUAAGAAAAUGUUAACUCUAUAACAAAUUUGAAAAUCUGGAGGACCUAGACAAAGUAUAGCCAAAGUUCACUCAAGAGGAAGUAGAGAAUUCUAAUGGCCCAAUAAAGAGCACAAGUUAAAUAUGCACUGCUAAAAAAAAGAUGCAAAUUCCAAAUGAUUUUAAAGCUGAGUGCCAGCAUUUAAAGACUACUUAAUGUAUAGUAAUAGUCAUACUUUGCAGAAUUAAAAAAGAUUGUCAGCUAUCCAGUUCAUUUUGUGAAGUUAACAUAAACUUUAUAUUAACGUUUUAAAAGGAUAAUGUAAGAAAGAGAAGUACUGAUUAAUUUCAAUUAUGAAUAUAGAAGCAUAAAUUAAAUAAAUUAUUAACAAUUAAGUCUAGAAGUAUAAUUAAAAUAACAGUCCAGCCAAAUAUAUGACCAUUGGACUGAUUAAUAAACAUGGUAAGUCUAGAUCGACAUAAUGAUCAUGGUAAAUGGAACAUACUUCUCUUGACUGAAGGAAGAAGGAUCAGUCAUGUGACAUACAACAUGAUUACAGGAUAAUGGUGCAUUACAUUGAUUUGAAAUCUGAAUAUAUCCUCAUCUAUUGCUUUAGCCUUCUUAGACUAAAACAGUUUGAUUCAAGUUUAUAUCUCAACUCAGUACCAUUAGGGAGCCAAAAUGGGAAUCAGUUUCCUAGAUGGCUGCAAUAUUAAUGCUAAAGAGCCUUUUGAAUUGUUUUAGGGAUUUUACUGCAUCAAAUAGUGUUCUUUCAAGAAUACAAAUGUGGUUCAACAUUUGGAAGUUUACCAGGAUGACUUAUUGACAGUUUAUAGGAGAAAAAAAAAAUGACAUCAAUAUUUUCUAUAAGGUCAUUUAGUAAAAUUCAGCCACUGUUCUUCAUAAAAUUCCAACUAAGGACUUUUGGGCAAUAUGACUAAAUACAUUCAGAGUGGGUGUCCUUCUAAUAGAAAAAUUAAACGUUUAUGAAAUAUUUAUUUACUUAGAAAGCACGUGCAAGCAGG